AAGUCGUAACAAGGUUUCCGUAGGUGAACCUGCGGAAGGAUCAUUACCAAAUCCAAAUACCCAAACCCCAUGUGAACUAUUGUAUAGUCUGUCUUUGGGAGAAAAGCAUCCAAGAAAAAUUAGCUUUUAUUAGCUCUUUUUUCUUGGAUUUUUCUCCCAAUAGAGUCCGGCGCAACUUUAUUGUUGUGUCCAGAUUCGAAACCCUAAACCACUUGAUUUUUCUGUUGGAAUUUUCUUUUUAUAAUUUUAAAUAAAAGACAACUUUUAACGGCGGAUCUCUUGGCUCGUG
rnacentral:misc_RNA from 1 species